rnacentral:misc_RNA from 1 species
GUUGAAGCCUCCUGGUGAAUUGGGGGCUGAUAUUGUUGUUGGAUCAGCUCAGAGGUUUGGUGUUCCAAUGGGAUAUGGAGGUCCUCAUGCAGCAUUUUUGGCUACCUCACAAGAGUACAAAAGGUUGAUGCCUGGAAGAAUUAUUGGCGUUAGUGUUGAUUCUUCUGGGAAGCCUGCUCUGCGUAUGGCGAUGCAAACCAGGGAGCAGCAUAUUCGCAGGGACAAGGCUACCAGUAACAUCUGCACUGCUCAAGCCUUGCUUGCAAACAUGGCUGCUAUGUAUGCUGUCUAUCAUGGACCUGAAGGCCUUAAAGCCAUCGCACAAAGAGUUCAUGGUCUUGCUGGAGCCUUUGCUCUUGGACUGAAGAAACUGGGAACAGUGGAAGUCCAGGGCCUUCCCUUCUUUGACACUGUAAAAGUUAAGGGUGUUAAUGCACAUGCAGUAACUGAUGCUGCAUACAAAAGUGAGAUAAACUUGCGAGUCGUAGACGCAAAUACUAUCACUGUUUCCUUUGAUGAAACAACCACCCUGGAGGAUGUUGAUAAACUUUUCAAAGUUUUUGCCAGUGGCAAGCCUGUCCCAUUCACUGCUGCAUCUCUGGCAUCAGAAGUUCAGAAUGCAAUCCCUGGUGAACUAAAAAGGGAUAGCCCAUUCCUGACCCACACAAUCUUUAACACGUACCAUACAGAGCAU